rnacentral:miRNA from 1 species
UAUGGCACGUACACCAUCUUC